rnacentral:rRNA from 1 species
CGGCGGACGGGUGAGUAACACGUGGGUAACCUACCUGUAAGACUGGGAUAACUUCGGGAAACCGGAGCUAAUACCGGAUAACAUAUGAGACCGCAUGGUCUUAUAUUAGAAGAUGGCUUUUAGCUAUCACUUACAGAUGGACCCGCGGCGCAUUAGCUAGUUGGUGAGGUAAUGGCUCACCAAGGCAACGAUGCGUAGCCGACCUGAGAGGGUGAUCGGCCACACUGGGACUGAGACACGGCCCAGACUCCUACGGGAGGCAGCAGUAGGGAAUCUUCCGCAAUGGACGAAAGUCUGACGGAGCAACGCCGCGUGAGCGAAGAAGGUCUUCGGAUCGUAAAGCUCUGUUGUUAGGGAAGAACAAGUAUCGUUCGAAUAGGGCGGUACCUUGACGGUACCUAACCAGAAAGCCACGGCUAACUACGUGCCAGCAGCCGCGGUAAUACGUAGGUGGCAAGCGUUAUCCGGAAUUAUUGGGCGUAAAGCGCGCGCAGGCGGUCCUUUAAGUCUGAUGUGAAAGCCCACGGCUCAACCG